rnacentral:rRNA from 1 species
UACAGGGGGGCAAGCGUUGUUCGGAAUUACUGGGCGUAAAGGGUCUGUAGGUGGCCAACUAAGUCAAACGUGAAAUCCCUCAGCUUAACUGGGGAACUGCGUCUGAUACUGGAUGGCUCGAGUGUGGGAGAGGAAUGCGGAAUUCCAGGUGUAGCGGUGAAAUGCGUAGAUAUCUGGAGGAAUACCGGUGGCGAAGGCGGCAUUCUGGACCAUUACUGACACUGAAUCGCGAAAGCUAGGGGAGCAAACGGG